UACGGAGGAUGCGAGCGUUAUCCGGAUUUAUUGGGUUUAAAGGGUGCGUAGGCGGAUUAAUAGGUCAGUGGUGAAAUCCUGCAGCUUAACUGUGGAGCUGCCAUUGAUACUGUUAGUCUUGAGUAUGGUCAAGGUAGGCGGAAUGCGUAAUGUAUCGGUGAAAUGCUUAGAUAUUACACAGAACACCGAUUGCGAAGGCAGCUUACUGGGCCAUUACUGACGCUGAUGCACGAAAGCGCGGGGAUCGAACA
rnacentral:rRNA from 1 species